GAUGAAGAACGUAGCGAAAUGCGAUAAGUAAUGUGAAUUGCAGAAUUCAGUGAAUCAUCGAAUCUUUGAACGCACAUUGCGCCCCUUGGUAUUCCAUGGGGCAUGCCUGUUCGAGCGUCAUUUGUACCUUCAAGCUUUGCUUGGUGUUAGGUGUUUGUCUCGCCUUUGCGUGUAGACUCGCCUUAAAAUAAUUGGCAGCCGGCGUAUUGAUUUCGGAGCGCAGUACAUCUCGCGCUUUGCACUCAUAACGACAGCGUCCAAAAGUACAUUUUACACUCUUGACCUCGGAUCAGGUAGGGAUACCCGCUGAACUUAAGCAUAUCAAUAAGCGGAGGA
rnacentral:misc_RNA from 1 species